CCUACGGGAGGCAGCAGUGAGGAAUAUUGGUCAAUGGGCGCAAGCCUGAACCAGCCAAGUAGCGUGAAGGAUGACUGCCCUACGGGUUGUAAACUUCUUUUAUACAGGAAUAAAGUGAGGCACUUGUGCCUUUUUGUAUGUACUUUAUGAAUAAGGAUCGGCUAACUCCGUGCCAGCAGCCGCGGUAAUACGGAGGAUCCGAGCGUUAUCCGGAUUUAUUGGGUUUAAAGGGAGCGUAGAUGGGCUGUUAAGUCAGUUGUGAAAGUUUGCGGCUCAACCGUAGAAUUGCAAUGGAUACUGGCAGGCUGGAGUACAGUUGAGGUAGGCGGAAUUCGUGGUGUAGCGGUGAAAUGCUUAGAUAUCACGAAGAACUCCGAUUGCGAAGGCAGCUUACUAAACUGCAACUGACGUUGAUGCUCGAAAGUGUGGGUAUCAAACAGGAUUAGAUACCCCUGUAGUC
rnacentral:rRNA from 1 species